rnacentral:lncRNA from 1 species
CUCUCUCUCUCUCGCUAUGGACUUUCCCUCUCUCGUAAAUCCCUAAUUUUUGCUUGAUGCGCUCUAUCCCUCUCUCGCAAACCCUCUUUCUUGCUCAACCUGUCCUCCUUUCUCUCUCGGCCUCUCUUCCUCUCUCUCGAUUGCAAAAUUGGCUAGCUUCAUUUUCAAGUUUUACUAUUUUUCUUUGUGAUUUAUGUUUUU